ensembl:lncRNA
GAUUGUGAGUCAUAAGUUGAGAAAAAAAAAAGAUGUUGCCCAUUCUGCCAGCCGUAUGUCCUCUAGCAUGGUUCACCAAGCCUGACGGGCUCUGAUGGAGUAGGAACGGUCACCUCUGGACAUGAGCUGAGACUUUGUUACAUCAAGGAGGGUCCUGCCUGAGGAGAAAGGCUGCACACUGACUCUCUCGAAGGUCCAGCCAAUCACAAUUGAUGUAUGGCAUGUACACGUCGGUCUAAACUGUCACUUGAGUCCAGAGCUCAAUCAGCACUAAAAACGUGAUGAUGGCAAGUUAUUUUGCAAUAACAAUUCUGAUUGCAGCAUUGCCGGUUGAGAGCCAAGACAUUCCUCGUUCAGUUUCUGAAAUAAAAGCAGAACUUGGAGAUAAGGUUACUUUACAUUGUAGAGGAAUGAAAAAAGAAAAUAUGACGGAAGAUAAGAUUGACUUGUACAAACAAUCUCAUGGAUAUGUUCCCCAAACAGUCGCUCGAAGUGUGUUUGGAAAAAUUACAAUUUAUCCUCCCUUUAAUUUAACAUUCACAGUGGAAGAAGGGGUUUCUGAUUUCAAUUUGAUCAUUCAAAGUGUAACUAAAGGCGAUGAAGCAAACUAUUUUUUUCGACAACAAUUUUCUGAAAGUUGGACUAAUGGCAUUUUUCUGUCUGUCAAAGAUCACAAAAUCACGACGGAUGAAGAAAAGCAAGAUAAAACAGAAUCCUACAGGAAUCUGGUUUCCAUGGUGCUUGGAAUACUGUUGGCUUGCUGUCUGUUUGUGAUCAUAAUCUUCUUUCUAUCCAGAAAUAAAAAACAAGUUUGUGAGCAUUGCAAAGAAACACUGAGUUCCUCCUACCAUGUGGCAAAUGACUCAGGGAUUCAGGAACAACAGGACAGGGAAACGGGUUCCUUGAAUUACGCAGCGUUGGAUUUCCCUGGCAGGAAAACCAAAAGGGGGAAAAAGAACAGUGAACGGACUCAGGAGAGUCUGUAUUCUGAUGUGAGAGAAACCCGCCACUAAAGUCUAUUAACCAGGGAGUCUGUGUCCCCUCAUGAGGCUUAAGUAAUGAUUUUGGCACGUUGUGAUGUCAGUUUGGAUUGAUGAAUUUGAAUGUUGUGCUAUGGUUGUUGAUGGAAAUAAUCUGGACCAUUUUAUUUUUAUGGGUAUAUGUAGACUGUUUAUAUUUAGUUAUGUUGCUUUGAAAAUAUUUUAUAUUGCAAACACACGCAUGUGGCCGCAUAACUAAAUCUUGAUAAACAUAAUUUUUAAUGUGCCACCAAUCUCAACUAUGAUUGCUGAGGUUGCUUGGCAACCAUUUGCUGGCUUGAGGCACAAUGUUGCUUUGGGGGAGAAUUAUGAUUUGUUUUCAAUAAAUUAUUGCACUUGAA